AAGGAAGGAAGCAAAAGACCUGAAGGAUAAGAUGAGACAAGGCUGAAGCAGGAUCAUUAAGUCAUAAACCUGGAGCACCUGGAUAGUGAGUAGAGUGAAAACAAGCUCAGGGCUCCCACUGAUUGUACAUUAUGGUGAGACGUGGUCUUGUAACACAGUGGUUAAGAAUGUGACUUUGGAGCCAGCCUGCUAGGGGCUGAAUUCUGACUCAGCCAUUUAUUAACUGUGUGACCUUAGGGAGGAGGACCUGGUUGAUAGAAGAAUUUAUCUCAUAGUCUUAACAUCCACUGUAAUUCCGAACUUUGAGGACGAUAGAGAUCAGUGGGCUUUGACUGCCCAGCAUGCAGUCUCCAUUCUUAGAUGGAGUCUCACUCUGUAGCCCAAGCUGGAGUGGCGUGAUCUCGACUCACUGCAACCUCCGCCUCCUGGGCUCAAGUGAUUCUCGUGCCUCAGCCUCCUGAGUAGCUGGGACUACAGGUCAUAGAAUUUUCCACACUCCUUGACGGAGGUUCUUAACCCUUAUCCAUCAGCAUUCUCAGACAGCACCUCCGGUUAGGGACAGUAUCUGACCGUCCGACAUCCCUGCAGCCCCCAUGCUGUCACACAGACUCAGCCUCAGGUAGAUGGUUUCCGUAGAUGGUGGCUUUCUUUGGACCCUUGAUAUCAACCAGUUACUAUUUGGGGACCAGAUGUGCAGAGGUAAUGAAUACCAGGGAAUCAGGAAACCACUGGAUCAGUUCUUUGAGCCAUAGAACAACACUCAUCCCAGCAGCUGGGAAGCUAUCUGCAAAAGUCCAUCUGCAGAAAGGGCUUCCUGGUCUUGCGUGUGGCUGGGCCAUUUCUCUGGAUGCAGGUUUUUCAUUAUACAGUCUUCUCAAAGGACCACCUGCUCUCAACACCUUCUCGGUGACUCCAUUUCCCCUCCUCU
rnacentral:antisense_RNA from 1 species